ACCCGGUCAUAGUGAGCGGGUAACACCCGGACUCGUUUCGAACCCGGAAGUUAAGCCGCUCACGUCAGAGGGGCCGUGGGAUCCGAGAGGGCCCGCAGCCUCUCUGAGCUGGGAU
rnacentral:rRNA from 13 species